GGCCGCCUGGCGAAAUGGCAUCGCGUCUGACUACGAUGAAGUCUUAUUGGAUGUAAUCGGGAAUCAGGAGAUUGCAGGUUCGACCCCUGCGGUGGUCA